rnacentral:rRNA from 1 species
UCCCAGACUCCUACGGGAGGCAGCAGUGAGGAAUAUUGGUCAAUGGCCGGAAGGCUGAACCAGCCAAGCCGCGUGAAGGACGAAGGUGCCAAGCAUUGUAAACUUCUUUUGUCAAGGGACAAAAUCAGGCUCGAGAGCCUGACCGAGGGUACUUGAAGAAAAAGCAUCGGCUAACUCCGUGCCAGCAGCCGCGGUAAUACGGAGGAUGCGAGCGUUAUCCGGAUUUAUUGGGUUUAAAGGGUGCGCAGGCGGCUGUUUAGGCCGGGGGAAAAAGCCGGGGGCUCACCCCCGGCGAGCCGUUGAAACUGGCGGGCUGGAGUUGGAGAGAAGUACGCGGAAUGCGCGGUGUAGCGGUGAAAUGCUUAGAUAUCGCGCAGAACCCCGAUUGCGAAGGCAGCGUACCGGCUCCACACUGACGCUGAGGCACGAAAGCGUGGGUAUCGAACAGGAUUAGAUACCCCGGUA